rnacentral:rRNA from 1 species
CACGUAGGGGGCAAGCGUUGUCCGGAUUUAUUGGGCGUAAAGAGCUCGUAGGUGGUUCGGUAAGUCAGGUGUGAAACCUCCAGGCUCAACCUGGAGACGCCACUUGAUACUGCUGUGACUGGAGUCCGGUAGGGGAGCGUGGAAUUCCUGUUGUAGCGGUGAAAUGCGCAGAUAUCAGGAGGAACACCAGCGGCGAAGGCGGCGCUCUGGGCCGGUACUGACACUGAGGAGCGAAAGCGUGGGUAGCAAACAGG